rnacentral:rRNA from 1 species
GAUGAACGCUGGCGGCGUGCCUAAUACAUGCAAGUCGAGCGAACGGACGAGAAGCUUGCUUCUCUGAUGUUAGCGGCGGACGGGUGAGUAACACGUGGAUAACCUACCUAUAAGACUGGGAUAACUUCGGGAAACCGGAGCUAAUACCGGAUAAUAUUUUGAACCGCAUGGUUCAAAAGUGAAAGACGGUCUUGCUGUCACUUAUAGAUGGAUCCGCGCUGCAUUAGCUAGUUGGUAAGGUAACGGCUUACCAAGGCAACGAUGCAUAGCCGACCUGAGAGGGUGAUCGGCCACCCUGGAACUGAGCCACGGUCCAGACUCCUACGGGAGGCAGCAGUAGGGAAUCUUCCGCAAUGGGCGAAAGCCUUACGGAGCAACGCCGCGUGAGUGAUGAAGGUCUUCGGAUCGUAAAACUCUGUUAUUAGUGAAGAACAUAUGUGUAAGUAACUGUGCACAUCUUGACGGUACCUAAUCAGAAAGCCACGGCUAACUACGUG